rfam:Wigglesworthia glossinidia endosymbiont of Glossina brevipalpis DNA, complete genome.
GGGGCUGAUUAUGGAUUCGACGAAAUAAACAAAACUAAAGAUGCAUGUCGAGCAGAGGUGGACUCGUAAAACCUCAAAUUGAUAAUUGCAAAACAUAAGUACAACGAGCCUGCUCUAUUAGCAGCUUAAUUAGAAUAAAAUCUUAGGCUCCUUCUUAGAUAUAUUAUCUCUAGAUGUAUCAAUAGAAGUCAAAAUUAGAGAUCGCGAUAUGAACGGGCUUGUACGUUCCUACGCUAAAAUAAUACAAGAUAAUUUUUAGUUCACACUUCUUUCUGUAGAACUAAAAAUAUUUAAGAAAGAAUAAACAUGUAGUAUCAAUAGAAUUGAAGUUUCGGACGCGGGUUCAAAUCCCGCCAGCUCCAUAU